UUAAUAUGAUGAUUAACAUUCAGUUCUGCUACUGAAGAAAUUUGACGAUAACAAAAAUACCAAAAUCACUGAUAA